rnacentral:rRNA from 1 species
UACGGAGGGGGCUAGCGUUGUUCGGAAUUACUGGGCGUAAAGCGCGCGUAGGCGGACCUGCAAGUCGGGGGUGAAAGCCCGAGGCUCAACCUCGGAACUGCCUUCGAUACUGCGGGUCUCGAGUCCGGGAGAGGUGAGUGGAAUUCCUAGUGUAGAGGUGAAAUUCGUAGAUAUUAGGAAGAACACCAGUGGCGAAGGCGGCUCACUGGCCCGGUGCUGACGCUGAGG